rnacentral:rRNA from 1 species
GACGAACGCUGGCGGCGUGCUUAACACAUGCAAGUCGAACGGAAAGGCCCCUUUGGGGGUCCUCGAGUGGCGAACGGGUGAGUAACACGUGAGUAACCUGCCCUUGACUUCGGGAUAACUUCAGGAAACUGGGGCUAAUACCGGAUAGGAAUCCUUGCUGCAUGGUGGGGGUUGGAAAGCUUCGGCGGUUUUGGAUGGACUCGCGGCUUAUCAGCUUGUUGGUGGGGUAGUGGCUUACCAAGGCUUUGACGGGUAGCCGGCCUGAGAGGGCGACCGGCCACCUUGGGACUGGGAUACGGCCCAGACUCCUACGGGAGGCAGCAGUGGGGAAUAUUGCACAAUGGGCGGAAGCCUGAUGCAGCAACGCCGCGUGCGGGAUGACGGCCUUCGGGUUGUAAACCGCUUUCAGCAGGGGCGAAGCUUGUGGUGACGGUACCUGCAGAAGAAGCACCGGCUAACUACGUG